rnacentral:rRNA from 1 species
GACGAACGCUGGCGGCGUGCCUAAUACAUGCAAGUAGAACGCUGAAGAGAGGAGCUUGCUCUUCUUGGAUGAGUUGCGAACGGGUGAGUAACGCGUAGGUAACCUGCCUGGUAGCGGGGGAUAACUAUUGGAAACGAUAGCUAAUACCGCAUAAAAUUGAUUAUUGCAUGAUAAUUAAUUGAAAGAUGCAAUUGCAUCACUACCAGAUGGACCUGCGUUGUAUUAGCUAGUUGGUGAGGUAACGGCUCACCAAGGCGACGAUACAUAGCCGACCUGAGAGGGUGAUCGGCCACACUGGGACUGAGACACGGCCCAGACUCCUACGGGAGGCAGCAGUAGGGAAUCUUCGGCAAUGGGGGGAACCCUGACCGAGCAACGCCGCGUGAGUGAAGAAGGUUUUCGGAUCGUAAAGCUCUGUUGUAAGAGAAGAACGGGUGUGAGAGUGGAAAGUUCACACUGUGACGGUAUCUUACCAGAAAGGGACGGCUAACUACGUGCCAGCAGCCGCGGUAAUACGUAGGUCCCGAGCGUUGUCCGGAUUUAUUGGGCGUAAAGCGAGCGCAGGCGGUUAGAUAAGUCUGAAGUUAAAGGCUGUGGCUUAACCAUAGUAUGCUUUGGAAACUGUUUAACUUGAGUGCAGAAGGGGAGAGUGGAAUUCCAUGUGUAGCGGUGAAAUGCGUAGAUAUAUGGAGGAACACCGGUGGCGAAAGCGGCUCUCUGGUCUGUAACUGACGCUGAGGCUCGAAAGCGUGGGGAGCAAACAGGAUUAGAUACCCUGGUAGUCCACGCCGUAAACGAUGAGUGCUAGGUGUUAGGCCCUUUCCGGGGCUUAGUGCCGCAGCUAACGCAUUAAGCACUCCGCCUGGGGAGUACGACCGCAAGGUUGAAACUCAAAGGAAUUGACGGGGGCCCGCACAAGCGGUGGAGCAUGUGGUUUAAUUCGAAGUAACGCGAAGAACCUUACCAGGUCUUGACAUCCCUCUGACCGCUCUAGAGAUAGAGUUUUCCUUCGGGACAGAGGUGACAGGUGGUGCAUGGUUGUCGUCAGCUCGUGUCGUGAGAUGUUGGGUUAAGUCCCGCAACGAGCGCAACCCCUAUUGUUAGUUGCCAUCAUUGAGUUGGGCACUCUAGCGAGACUGCCGGUAAUAAACCGGAGGAAGGUGGGGAUGACGUCAAAUCAUCAUGCCCCUUAUGACCUGGGCUACACACGUGCUACAAUGGCUGGUACAACGAGUCGCAAGCCGGUGACGGCAAGCUAAUCUCUGAAAGCCAGCCUCAGUUCGGAUUGUAGGCUGCAACUCGCCUACAUGAAGUCGGAAUCGCUAGUAAUCGCGGAUCAGCACGCCGCGGUGAAUACGUUCCCGGGCCU